rnacentral:sRNA from 1 species
AAAAGUGGGAAGAAAAGAAAGUAGAAAAAAUGGUUAGAAAAAAAACAAGUGUGAAGUGAAUUGUGUUAGUUGAAUGAGACAGAUCCAUCUUAGUAUGACUUUGUGAUUCAGAGAAAGGGAGUGUGGUCCUCCAACGAUGACCAGGAAAAACCAAAGCUUCACGAUUAUGGCAGCUCAGCUAUUGCAUAAGCAUUAUUAACAAGUUUGGAGCUUUACAUAGGCAGGGGACUUUGAAUUCAUCUGGCUCAUCAGGAUCAAACAGGUAGUCAUACCUGCUCAAACCAAAACAAUCAGCAUCAACUACAGAGAACAUACAAAUAUACAAAUGCACCUUAUAACAACAUACAUGCAUACAUACACACAGAAAAGGGAGAGACAUACGUUAACUCAUCGCCGGCCAACACGAUAGUCUUGGCAAUGAGAACAAUCCGGCUCUCAUCGUCACCGACACUCAUGAUUCUUGCAUAGCAAUUUGGCAUACACUGUAGGAACAUGAACAAGAGAACAGAUCAGAUGAGUAUCCAGUAUUGAGAAUCAGAGAAAAAUGAUGUGCAUAAAAUGUCAAUUCAAGAUAGGUUGACUCACAGAAUGAUUAAUCAGCCGUGCUAUAUUCCCUUUGUCAGUGGCAUCUACUACCACUUCUUCACUUAUCUUAAACAGCUGCCAAUACAAGAGUAGGGUAUUUUAGUGUAAAAACACAACCAUGUCAAUAAUAUGAUGAGCAGUGUGAUUGUAUUAAUAGACAGACAUAGGAGAAUUAACUCACAUAACAAUCUUUGCCUUCUAAUCUAUAGCGUGCCUCCCUCAAAUCUGCAAUGCUGCGCCUCACUUGUUCGCCACGAUACUCAAGUACCUGCUUAAGAUUAAAAUCAUGCUCACUAUUGCAACAGAUAAAGGUUGUACAUGGAAAGCUCAGAAAACAUAAAGGAUCUAAGGGCAACCAUUUUAUGUAUCUGCUAAUGUUAGAAUCAUAACAAAAGCAAGGGAUGAUAUAUUCUGCAAACAUCUGGAGCAGGAACCGACCCAGAAAAUCUCAGGACCAAACCAACCACAAGAGAAGAAAAAGGUAAAGGACAUGGUAAUUAAACUUUGUCCGCUUUGCAUGGUUUAGAAAAUGCUUCAUGAGCCUGUGUGUUUGCAUUCAAAAGCAAGCCGACAGAUACCAUGGCAUAUUAUAUGCUUUAUAAAGUUCUACAGUAUGAAAUUACUUAAGAAAACCAAAGAUUGUCAAAGGUUCGUUUAGUUUUAGCAAACAUUUUGUUUCCAUUUCUCGUUUUAAAAAUAAUUACAAAAAGUCAACAGCAUCACUAUAUUGUGUACAAAAUUAUGAAAAUAGAAAAAACAAAGAGGAACUUUUAUAUUUACUUAUGAAAUAGAAUGUUUCCUAAAAUCAAACAGGCCUAAGAUAUUAAGUUGAAAUGAAUCGCUAUACUAUAUUCUUCACUAUAUGUCAAUACUAGUUGACAGUUCCAAAGAAAACAGCUCUGGAAAUGGGUAUUCUUUGCAGGACAGGACUAGGUUGCAAUAGAGUAAAACAUAUGUUAUGGUAAAACCGAGUGACAUUUGCCACAUUAUGUUAGGUUUCUGUAAUCGAAAACCUAAUUCCCCUCUCUCAAAUCACAACAA